rnacentral:rRNA from 1 species
UACGGAGGGAGCUAGCGUUGUUCGGAAUUACUGGGCGUAAAGGGUGCGUAGGCGGCGCGGUAAGUCGGGUGUGAAAUCUCGGAGCUUAACUCCGAAACUGCAUUCGAUACUGCCGUGCUCGAGGACUGGAGAGGAGACUGGAAUUCAUGGUGUAGCAGUGAAAUGCGUAGAGAUCAUGAGGAAGACCAGUGGCGAAGGCGGGUCUCUGGACAGUUCCUGACACUGAGGCACGAAGGCCAGGGGAGCAAACGGG